rnacentral:misc_RNA from 1 species
CCAAACUUGGUCAUUUAGAGGAAGUAAAAGUCGUAACAAGGUUUCCGUAGGUGAACCUGCGGAAGGAUCAUUACCAGCAUCAAGCGCGUAGGGCCCGCAAGGGCCUGAGCGCGCGUGGCCGGCCCGCAAGGGCUGGUCACCAUCAUCAUCAUCAUCACCAUGUGGCCACUGCGCAAGAGGUGUGUGGGGCGCGCAAAGCAGCAAGUUGUUGGCGAGGGAGGCGCGAGGAGAGGAGAGGGGGGGAUGCGUGCAGUGCAAGUCAUUGCACGCACCCACUCUACUCGCUUCCCCUCCACCACCACCACCACCACCACCGCUACUAUGGCGCCCAACCGCUCUUUACAUUCAUUACACGAACCAUCAUAUCAUCAUCCACAACAAAUAUCUAUAUGAUCUCGACACUGACACUUUUAACAAUGGAUCUCUAGGCUCUUGCAUCGAUGAAGAACGCAGC